GUGCAUUUCCAUAAUGAGACAUGUCCCAACUCAUAUUAGAUCCUCCAUGAAAUUUUCUCGGGGAGUAUAGUGCUACAGAUGAUUUUCUUUGGAUAGUAUAGUGCUACGGAUUAUUUCAUCACUCUUUUUCAUGGAAACAGCUGAUGAAUUUUUAUUUUGUCUUCAUAAAUCAGCUCCUUGCUGGUUCUGACAGUGGCUCUUUGAGAUUGUAUGACAUCAAUGACACAUUGCAA
rnacentral:misc_RNA from 1 species